UCUCCGUUGGUGAAUCAGCGGAGGGAUCAUUACAGAGUUGCAAAACUCCCAAACCAUUGUGAACGUUACCUAUCCCGUUGCUUCGGCGGGCGGCCCGGGCCCCGCGCCCGGCGCCCCCCGGCCCCCCGUGGGCGCCCGCCGGAGGUAAACCAAACCCUUGAAUUGCAUGGCCUCUCUGAGUCCUCUGUACUGAAUAAGUCAAAACUUUCAACAACGGAUCUCUUGGUUCUG
rnacentral:misc_RNA from 1 species